UCUCUUGUAGCUCAACAGGCAGAGCACGGUACUUAUACGGGCGAACCGGCCCUAUGCAAUGCCGAGGUCGCGAGUUCGAUCCUCGCCAGGAGCA
rfam:Gonapodya prolifera JEL478 unplaced genomic scaffold M427scaffold_50, whole genome shotgun sequence.